rnacentral:rRNA from 1 species
AGACAGCAGUCGCCACGGUAAUACGGAGGGUGCAAGCGUUAAUCGGAAUUACUGGGCGUAAAGCGCACGCAGGCGGUCUGACAAGUCAGAUGUGAAAUCCCCGGGCUUAACCUGGGAACUGCAUUUGAAACUGUCAGGCUGGAGUCUUGUAGAGGGGGGUGGAAUUCCAGGUGUAGCGGUGAAAUGCGUAGAGAUCUGGAGGAAUACCGGUGGCGAAGGCGGCCCCCUGGACAAAGACUGACGCUCAGGUGCGAAAGCGUGGGGAGCAAACAGGAUUAGAUACCCCUGUAGUCCCUGUCUCUUAUAC